ACGACCUUCCCCUCGACUCAACACACAAACACACGAAAAGGAAAAAGAAAUAUGGAAGAUAAGAAGUGAGACACGAAAACACAACAGCCAAGUAAAUGCCAACUGCUAGCUUGUAACUUAUACUGCCAAGAUGAACUAAGUAAUUCAUAAAUAACUCUCAACCUUCAAAAUGAAAAAAUUAGAAUCUCAAGAAUGCAUCUCUAUCAUCAAAUUAGUCAAAAUCAGGCAAUAGCAAGUACAGCUCACGGUUUCACUCAUUCGCUCAAUUUUCUCCAUAAGAUAUGAGGUAAUUCACACACACACAAGAAAAGAUCCACUUGGUCAUGAUAUGUCGCGGUCAAAUAGUGACUCAAAAAGGACUUUGUUCAUUUGGCGUAAUGGGGCUAGGGACCAUUCAUAAGAUUGGAAGGAUCUAAAGGGGUUCCUAGGCUCAAGCAAUGAAAAUCAAAGUGUGCACAUCUAAUCCAAACUAUCAUCCACAAUUUCAAGUUCAUAGAGAAAGAAAGCAACCAAACUUAGGGGAAAAACUCCAACAAUAACAAUGAUACUACAUGCUCAACUCAAACUGGUGCAACAUCUCUUUUUUUUCUCUUUUUUUUCUUUUUU
rnacentral:lncRNA from 1 species